AGUGAACGCUGGCGGUAGGCCUAACACAUGCAAGUCGAACGGCGGCACAGGAGAGCUUGCUCUCUGGGUGGCGAGUGGCGGACGGGUGAGGAAUACAUCGGAAUCUACUUUUUCGUGGGGGAUAACGUAGGGAAACUUACGCUAAUACCGCAUACGACCUACGGGUGAAAGCAGGGGACCUUCGGGCCUUGCGCGAUUGAAUGAGCCGAUGUCGGAUUAGCUAGUUGGCGGGGUAAAGGCCCACCAAGGCGACGAUCCGUAGCUGGUCUGAGAGGAUGAUCAGCUACACUGGAACUGAGACACGGUCCAGACUCCUACGGGAGGCAGCAGUGGGGAAUAUUGGACAAUGGGCGCAAGCCUGAUCCAGCCAUACCGCGUGGGUGAAGAAGGCCUUCGGGUUGUAAAGCCCUUUUGUUGGGAAAGAAAUCCAGCUGGCUAAUACCCGGUUGGGAUGACGGUACCCAAAGAAUAAGCACCGGCUAACUUCGUGCCAGCAGCCGCCGUAA
rnacentral:rRNA from 1 species